rnacentral:rRNA from 1 species
UCGGGAAUUUUGGGCAAUGGGCGAAAGCCUGACCCAGCAACGCCGCGUGUGUGAAGAAGGUCUUCGGAUUGUAAAGCACUUUAAGUUGGGAGGAAGGGCAGUUACCUAAUACGUAUCUGUUUUGACGUUACCGACAGAAUAAGCACCGGCUAACUCUGUGCCAGCAGCCGCGGUAAUACAGAGGGUGCAAGCGUUAAUCGGAUUUACUGGGCGUAAAGGGCGCGUAGGCGGCAUGACAAGUCACUUGUGAAAUCUCUGGGCUUAACCCAGAACGGCCAAGUGAUACUGUCGCGCUAGAGUGCAGAAGGGGCAAUCGGAAUUCUUGGUGUAGCGGUGAAAUGCGUAGAUAUCAAGAGGAACACCUGAGGUGAAGACGGGUUGCUGGGCUGACACUGACGCUGAGGCGCGAAAGCCAGGGGAGCAAACGGGAUUAGAUACCCACGUAGUCCCUGAGCGGGCUGGCAAGGCGCAU